ACGGCUCAGUAACACGUGGAUAACCUGCCCAAGGGUCCGGGAUAACCCCGGGAAACUGGGGAUAAUACCGGAUGGAUCACUUAUGCUGGAAUGCUUGGUGGUCGAAAGGUGACGCCCUUGGAUGGGUCUGCGGCGGAUUAGGUUGACGCCGGUGUAACGUACCGGCGUGCCUGUAAUCCGUACGGGUUGUGGGAGCAAGAGCCCGGAGAUGGAUUCUGAGACACGAAUCCAGGCCCUACGGGGCGCAGCAGGCGCGAAAACUCUACAAUGCAGGCAACUGCGAUAGGGGGACAUCGAGUGGCAUCCACCUUGGGUGCCUGUCCCACCGUCUAAAAAACGGUGGUUAGCAAGGGCCGGGCAAGACCGGUGCCAGCCGCCGCGGUAAUACCGGCGGCUCGAGUGGUGGCCGAUAUUAUUGAGUCUAAAGGGUCCGUAGCCGGCUUUGCAAGUCCCCUGGGAAAUCCAGCGGUUUAACCGUUGGGCUUUCAUGGGAUACUACAUUGCUUGGGACUGGGAGAGGUAGGAGGUACUCGGGGGGUAGGGGUGAAAUCCUGUAAUCCCCCGGGGACCAUUGGUGGCGAAGGUGUCCUACCAGAACAGGUCCGACGGUGAGGGACGAAAGCUAGGGGUAUGAACCGGAUUAGAUAUCCGGGUAGUCCUAGCUGUAAAUGAUGCCCGCUAGGUGUCACGGCGGUCGUGAAUCGCCGUGGUGCCGUAGGGAAGCCGUGAAGCGGGCUAUUUGGGAAGUACGGCCGUAAGGCUGAAACUUAAAGGAAUUGGCGGGGGAGCAC
rnacentral:rRNA from 1 species